rnacentral:rRNA from 1 species
CGUAGGGAGCAAGCGUUGUUCGGAUUUACUGGGCGUAAAGGGCGCGUAGGCGGCGCGGUAAGUCACUUGUGAAAUCUCUGAGCUUAACUCAGAACGGCCAAGUGAUACUGCAGUGCUAGAGUGCAGAAGGGGCAAUCGGAAUUCUUGGUGUAGCGGUGAAAUGCGUAGAUAUCAAGAGGAACACCUGAGGUGAAGACGGGUUGCUGGGCUGACACUGACGCUGAGGCGCGAAAGCCAGGGGAGCAAACGGGAUUAGAUACCCCGGUAGUCCUGGCCCUAAACGAUGAAUACUUGGUGUCUGGAGUUUCAAUACUCCGGGUGCCGUCGCUAACGUUUUUAGUAUUCCGCCUGGGAGUACGCUCGCAAGAGUG